rnacentral:rRNA from 1 species
AACGAACGCUGGCGGCAUGCCUAACACAUGCAAGUCGAACGAUGCCUUCGGGCAUAGUGGCGCACGGGUGCGUAACACGUGGGAAUCUGCCCUUCGGUUCGGAAUAACAGUUAGAAAUGACUGCUAAUACCGGAUAAUGUCGCAAGACCAAAGAUUUAUCGCCGAAGGAUGAGCCCGCGUAGGAUUAGGUAGUUGGUGGAGUAAAGGCCCACCAAGCUGACGAUCCUUAGCUGGUCUGAGAGGAUGAUCAGCCACACUGGGACUGAGACACGGCCCAGACUCCUACGGGAGGCAGCAGUGGGGAAUAUUGGACAAUGGGCGAAAGCUUGAUCCAGCAAUGCCGCGUGAGUGAUGAAGGCCUUAGGGUUGUAAAGCUCUUUUACCCGGGAUGAUAAUGACAGUACCGGGAGAAUAAGCUCCGGCUAACUCCGUGCCAGCAGCCGCAGUAAGAC